rnacentral:lncRNA from 1 species
UAUAGACAUAUACUAUAAUACUCCAAACUGCUGAGUAUGACAUUGGCUUAUCGGAAACAGAGCUCCCCAUUGCCCAUGUUGCAUUGUUAUCUGACGUCUUCUGUUUUGGCAUCCGAUGGGGCAAGGGACACAGUGAAUUGGCACCUUUGCUGAUCUUAGUAUUGUUGUCUGUGUAAGAAACUACCUUAUCUAAACAGGCUCAUUUUUCUUUACCAGGUGAAUCUCUCAGCCUUGCUUGACAGCAAUCAUGACAAAUGCUCUGGACUCACCCAUAUGCACUUGUGUGAGAGAAAAGGUCCAAGGCCCAAGAGGAUCGAAGACCUCAUUGAUCCACUUAACAAACAAGAUAUGAGUAACCCAAGCUUUGCUGUUGGACCUCCACAUAACGUUUAACUGGCUCUUCUGCACCUUGCAUUUCUUG